rnacentral:rRNA from 1 species
UUUAUGGAGAGUUUGAUCCUGGCUCAGGAUGAACGCUGGCGGCGUGCCUAAUACAUGCAAGUCGAGCGAACGGACGAGAAGCUUGCUUCUCUGAUGUUAGCGGCGGACGGGUGAGUAACACGUGGAUAACCUACCUAUAAGACUGGGAUAACUUCGGGAAACCGGAGCUAAUACCGGAUAAUAUUUUGAACCGCAUGGUUCAAAAGUGAAAGACGGUCUUGCUGUCACUUAUAGAUGGAUCCGCGCUGCAUUAGCUAGUUGGUAAGGUAACGGCUUACCAAGGCAACGAUGCAUAGCCGACCUGAGAGGGUGAUCGGCCACACUGGAACUGAGACACGGUCCAGACUCCUACGGGAGGCAGCAGUAGGGAAUCUUCCGCAAUGGGCGAAAGCCUGACGGAGCAACGCCGCGUGAGUGAUGAAGGUCUUCGGAUCGUAAAACUCUGUUAUUAGGGAAGAACAUAUGUGUAAGUAACUGUGCACAUCUUGACGGUACCUAAUCAGAAAGCCACGGCUAACUACGUGCCAGCAGCCGCGGUAAUACGUAGGUGGCAAGCGUUAUCCGGAAUUAUUGGGCGUAAAGCGCGCGUAGGCGGUUUUUUAAGUCUGAUGUGAAAGCCCACGGCUCAACCGUGGAGGGUCAUUGGAAACUGGAAAACUUGAGUGCAGAAGAGGAAAGUGGAAUUCCAUGUGUAGCGGUGAAAUGCGCAGAGAUAUGGAGGAACACCAGUGGCGAAGGCGACUUUCUGGUCUGUAACUGACGCUGAUGUGCGAAAGCGUGGGGAUCAAACAGGAUUAGAUACCCUGGUAGUCCACGCCGUAAACGAUGAGUGCUAAGUGUUAGGGGGUUUCCGCCCCUUAGUGCUGCAGCUAACGCAUUAAGCACUCCGCCUGGGGAGUACGACCGCAAGGUUGAAACUCAAAGGAAUUGACGGGGACCCGCACAAGCGGUGGAGCAUGUGGUUUAAUUCGAAGCAACGCGAAGAACCUUACCAAAUCUUGACAUCCUUUGACAACUCUAGAGAUAGAGCUUUCCCCUUCGGGGGACAAAGUGACAGGUGGUGCAUGGUUGUCGUCAGCUCGUGUCGUGAGAUGUUGGGUUAAGUCCCGCAACGAGCGCAACCCUUAAGCUUAGUUGCCAUCAUUAAGUUGGGCACUCUAAGUUGACUGCCGGUGACAAACCGGAGGAAGGUGGGGAUGACGUCAAAUCAUCAUGCCCCUUAUGAUUUGGGCUACACGUGCUACAAUGGACAAUACAAAGGGCAGCGAAACCGCGAGGUCAAGCAAAUCCCAUAAAGUUGUUCUCAGUUCGGAUUGUAGUCUGCAACUCGACUACAUGAAGCUGGAAUCGCUAGUAAUCGUAGAUCAGCAUGCUACGGUGAAUACGUUCCCGGGUCUUGUACACACCGCCCGUCACACCACGAGAGUUUGUAACACCCGAAGCCGGUGGAGUAACCUUUUAGGAGCUAGCCGUCGAAGGUGGGACAAAUGAUUGGGGUGAAGUCGUAACAAGGUAGCCGUAUCGGAAGGUGCGGCUGGAUCACCUCCUUU